GUCGGGAUAGCUCGGUUGGUAGAGCAAAGGACUGAAAAUCCUCGUGUCACUAGUUAAAAUCCGAUUCCUGGCA
rnacentral:tRNA from 1 species